GCUUACGGCCAUACCACCUUGGGCACGCACGAUCUCAUCUGAUCUCAGAAGUUAAGCAGGGUCGGGCCUGGUUAGUACUUGGAUGGGUGACCGCCUGGGAAUACCAGGUGCUGUAAGCA
rnacentral:rRNA from 1 species